AGUGAACGCUGGCGGUAGGCCUAACACAUGCAAGUCGAACGGCAGCACAGUAAUAGCUUGCUCUUACGGGUGGCGAGUGGCGGAUGGGUGAGGAAUACAUCGGAAUCUACUUUUUCGUGGGGGCUAACGUAGGGACAAUUACGCUAAUACCGCAUACGACCUACGGGUGAAAGCAGGGGAUCUUCGGACCUUGCGCGAUUGAAUGAGCCGAUGUCGGAUUAGCUAGUUGGCGGGGUAAAGGCCCACCAAGGCGACGAUCCGUAGCUGGUCUGAGAGGAUGAUCAGCCACACUGGAACUGAGACACGGUCCAGACUCCUACGGGAGGCAGCAGUGGGGAAUAUUGGACAAUGGGCGCAAGCCUGAUCCAGCCAUGCCGCGUGGGUGAAGAAGGCCUUCGGGUUGUAAAGCCCUUUUGUUGGGAAAGAAAAGCAGCAGGUUAAUACCCCGCUGUUCUGACGGUACCCAAAGAAUAAGCACCGGCUAACUUCGUG
rnacentral:rRNA from 1 species